UCAUUAAACUCAAAAUAAUAUAGGGGCAUCAAAAAUUAAGAAUGGGUAUUAGUAAUGAUAAACAAAAACAAGCUGAGCAAAUUCAUCGUCUUGUUGAUUUUUCACAGUGUUAUGUAAGAAUUAAUUUUUUGCUUAAUUUCCUGGCCAUCACCUAGUCAACCUGGACCCAUUGUUCCUGAAAACGCAAAAUUUCACUUCAUCUAGCUGAACCUCGAGACAUCUCCGAUCGUGCCGUUCUUAUUGACUGCAUCGCCAGAAUGGAAGAAAUUCUGACAGAGUUAAAAUCCACGCAGGUCCAUAGGAAUUUCCCCUCUACCGUCUGUGACUCGGGACACGCGACACCGCAAAAUUUGGAACGUCACCUGGAGCCGACGAGUAACCCCGUGAACACGUGUUUGCCCUGUGACGGGAAGAAGACCAAGGCGAAAACCGAUUUAAACCAGGAUGUAGGAAGCGAAUUAGAAUGCGAAUUUUGUGGCCAAAAGCUUUGGUCGGAAACCAGUCUCCGGCGUCAUCACGAGGCAUUUCAUUCUACAGAACUGGAAAGUUCGUGCAGGCCGCAAUGAGAUUGGGAGACUCGUAAAUACCGACAUCUGGGUUUGUAUGAUUUAAUUACUUGCAAUUUAAUGUCGUGUUAAUAAUAAUUAUUAUCACUAUUAUUAGUAUUUUUAUUCUUCGCAAGAGUAG